rnacentral:rRNA from 1 species
CCUACGGGUGGCAGCAGUGGGGAAUAUUGCACAAUGGGGGCAACCCUGAUGCAGCGACGCCGCGUGAGUGAAGAAGUAUUUCGGUAUGUAAAGCUCUAUCAGCAGGGAAGAAGAAAGACGGUACCUGACUAAGAAGCACCGGCUAACUACGUGCCAGCAGCAGCGGUAAUACGGAGGGGGCAAGCGUUAUCCGGAUUUACUGGGUGUAAAGGGAGCGUAGACGGCUGGGCAAGUCUGCAGUGAAAGCCCAGGGCUCAACCCUGGUACUGCAUUGGAGACUGUGGAGCUAGAGUGCUGGAGAGGUAAGUGGAAUUCCGAGUGUAGCGGUGAAAUGCGUAGAGAUUAGGAGGAACACCAGUGGCGAAGGCGGCUUACUGGACAGGAACUGACGUUGAGGCUCGAAAGCGUGGGGAGCAAACAGGAUUAGAUACCCGUGUAGUC